UUAAUGACUAACUAAACUAGAGGGACCUAAGUUGCCAAAAAGGAGAUUUGAAUUAUAAAAACAAAAAUUAAAACACAACACACAUUGUGUGUGUGUGUGUGCGUACGCCCAGGAGCAAGAACAAGGGGUUCCAAACCCUAGUUCAACAAAUCGAUCAAAUUGAAGCCCAAAUCAAGAGCCAAAUCAAUGCAUGAACACAAAUUAGUGAUCACCUCAGUGAAAUGAUCAUAAGUUUGACGCCUAACGAGCUAGGUGGAGGCUUGGGAAAGGAAGCGGGUCAAACCAAUCAAGAAUGGAGGAAAAACACAAUUCGGAUGCAAGGUACACUAUGGGAUGCCGGAAGACGAUCAAGCUCAACGAAGAACCGAACACGAUA